ensembl:lncRNA
UUUGACAGAUUUGUCCGAAAACCCAACAGCCAUGUCUGGAAAAGUAAGUCUGCACUAUUUCAACGGGAGAGGGAAAAUGGAGUCAAUCCGUUGGCUUCUGACAGUUGCAGAAGUGGAGUUUGAUGAGUUUCACCUGACAACCAGAGAUCAGUACCAGAAGCUUCUGGAUGGUGAGUUGGUUUUCAGAGACAUUCUCAACUUGUGUCAAGCCAGCCUCCAGUUUAUUGCCGGUUCCCCGUCUAUUCAAAGUAUUACGGGAAGGGAUGUGGAAACCGGAUUUCAAAAUAAAACUAAAUUUCGAGUCAAUUAACAGAUUUUUUAAGAACAUAAUAACAUAUAAUUUAAGCUUAUUCACUAUUAGCGGCCUGUCAAUAUCAAGACCAUUUUAUUUUGGAUUUCAGAGUAAAAGCCCUGUGAAUUUUCAACUCAGUCUGAAGUUGCCUUCCAAAAUAAAGGCCUUUUUAAAUUGCCCAUAUACGACCAAACUUUCAGUGAUUUCAAAAUGCUCUAAAAUGGAAAAUUGCUUUUCCACUGGGUCAUUCCACUUUAGAUCAACAGUAUACAACCCCACAGUGAUACCAUAUCAAUAUCAAGUCAUUCUGAUGUUGCUUUCCAAAAUAAAGGCCUUUUUAAAUUGNNNNNNNNNNNNNNNNNNNNNNNNNNNNNNNNNNNNNNNNNNNNNNNNNNNNNNNNNNNNNNNNNNNNNNNNNNNNNNNNNNNNNNNNNNNNNNNNNNNNNNNNNNUGGGGUUUUGUGUGUGCAGUUUUGAAAGAAACGUACAGUUUUGAAAAACGUGUUUUAGCAAUCGAAAAAAACUGUAACAAUUUCAAAAUGCUCUUAAAUAGAUUUUUGCUGUUUCCACAGGAUGACUACAUGUUCGAUCAAUAGUAUACAACCACACAGUGAUUCCAUAUCAAUAUUAAGUCAGUCUGAUUUUAUUUAUUAAAAUUUGCUGAAGUAGAUUUCUUGUCUUUACAUAUUAAUGACACAGUAUUUUCUUUGUAUUAGUAAUGUUAUGAAAUAGAACCAUUUUCAUAAAAGUAAGAUAGGUAAAUCUGUUUAUCUUUGAAAACAAAUCCCAGAAAAAGGGAACAACUCAAUACAAGGAGAGUAAAUUGUAAAGUCCAAAAGGUGCAGUCAUGAUAACAUUAAAGGUGCUUUAAAGGUAAAUGACAACAUCACGGAAAUGUGCAUUAGAUAUGUAUGAAAAUGUUUCGCUGUAUUAUGUUGCUCAAAUUAUCACUUUGGUGGAGACAACAGAGUACGUCUUCAAAUAUUUUGACGCAAGCAUCCAAAAAGUCUGUGGUUUAACAGCACAGGAGACAAUUCCACGCUUCUUUCUUUGCUUUUUUAAAGACAUUGUUGGUCAUGUCAAGGCACUGCUCAUGGUACCAUCUUUGACAGGUGUCACAUUGUAUCUACUUGAAAUCAAACAGACAAGGCAAAAAAAACAUUUAUACUCAAAGACUUUUACACAUUUUUGAGAAAUUCAAAUACCCUCCAACUCACCCAGUUCAUCAUUGAAGGUCCUGAUCCAAGUGGCUCGGUCAGUGAACACAUGGCACAGUUGCUGUUAGUGUCAAAAACUAAAAUACAGAAUCAAAACACAUUAGAUAGACAUUCGUUUGAAGACCAAUUUGUGCAUAUGUUAAGCUGUGUACUUACAACUUUCUAUCGAUUAGACAACUGCAUAAAGUGCCGUUGUGCACUAUAAUAAUCCUAACAGAAUAACACAUUUCAAUCUACACACAUGCACACACAUACAUUCAAAUACAUUCUGUAUACACACACACACACACACACACACACACACACACAUUUUCUCUAUUCAUCCCCAAACCAACCUGAUGCCUGUAGUAUCUCCACAGCCAUCAGCUUUCUUUUCUCUGCCAUUUUCUCUUUUGAGGUUUUAAAUUUCAUGACGGGAAAAUCUGGAAAUACUUUCAUCACUGCCCGUGCCAUCUACAGAGAAAUACUCAAAAUUUUAAUUGUGGAAAAAAAGACACAAUUGUACUCAAUAUAAAAUUUCUGAUGUUUAUAAUCUUGCAUAAAGAGUAUGAAAAACAAAGACCAAUAAAUAGAUUUAAGUCUUUAUGAACACCAGGUAACUUCUAACCCUCAGUACAGGGUUGUUGAAAUGGACAUCGUGGAUGAAUAAAUAUGUGAUAUACCUUGUAAACAUAGAGAACAAAGUGGACAGGGUUAAAAACAACACUGCACUCUACAGUAAGGGCCAGAGCCAUGUACAUUCUUUGAAGCUGAUGAGUAACUGAAAUAGUGAACAUCACUAGUUACUAGUUAAUAACACCAUAUAACACAGUACACAACAGCAAGUAUCACAGCCACAACCUAGAUAAGUAUAAGUAACAGUAGAUAGUAAAUAUUGGUGUCAGCACGGCCCCUGCCGAGAAACAUUAUCAUCUACAUGUACUUAAAAUUGAGACGUGGGCACCGGCAACUUAGGAGAGUUUGAAUACACAGACCAUCCCUUGGACGCCAUUCAGCAUGCCCAGCACAAGUGAUGUUGAUGUAUAGAUUGUGGAAUAAAAUUGAGGUACAGGUGGUUGGAAGGGGACACAGCAGGAAUGUCUCACACCCACCUCAGUGAAACAACUGUACGCCAAAGCCCUGCAUGUGUGGCGGUGUGAUGGAGUGGGAAUGAGGAGGGGAGGGAAGUGAAGGCAAAGUAGUCUCUCGUGUGGCCAGGUCCCCCGCUGACCCAAGUAGGCACCCCUAGAAGCCACAAAUGCCCAUCUGGACGGGGGCCUACAUUAGCACCACCACCAUGCCCCACGGAGCCUGGGGUGGUGGGCUCACAUUCAAUAAUCUCUCUGACUGCAUAAGACAAAAGACACCACGGCUGAGUUUAUUCUCCACCUCUGUACUAAUUUUAAAGUAAACUAUUGUCUUAUUUGGUGGGUUUUAAAGGUGGUGAACACUUGACAAACAAAGUAAAAAGAAAAAACAAUACAAGACUAUUAUAAAUUAAAGGGCCUUGGAGAUGUCAUUCAAACUAACACCAAUGCACAUCAAAAAAUACAUGUGAGUAACAGAAAGAAUAAAACUACAACUCCCAUGGUGCUUUGCGGCGUUAGCGCAGAGCCGAAGCGUCCCCUCCUUUGUGUUUUUUCCAGCGUCUGCUGCCGGUGUUCUGGGAAUAUCUCCUACCCCGUAAACCGUCCUACCUGUCGUUACCAGGCCCCCACAAUGCAGCUUUAAAAUUGAGGCCAACCCGGAAGUAAGAAAAAUUGCAGUUCCACCUUCAUCCGCUGGGGGCUGGUAUCAGAAGCGAGCAAAUCCUCAUUGACUCCCAUGUUAAAAAUGCCAAUUUCACAGCAGAAAUAAACAUGUUUACAGCCUGGCACCA